rnacentral:rRNA from 1 species
GAUGAACGCUAGCGGCAGGCCUAAUACAUGCAAGUCGAGCGGCAAGUCGAGGAGUAAUCUAAGACCUAGAGCGGCGCACGGGUGCGUAACGCGUAUGCAACCUACCUUAUACUGGGGGAUAGCCCGGAGAAAUCUGGAUUAAUACCCCCAUGGCACAUAUUGAUGGCAUCUGAGAUAUGUUAAAGAUUUAUUGGUAUAAGAUGGGCAUGCGUCUGAUUAGCUAGUUGGCGGUGUAACGGACCACCAAGGCGACGAUCAGUAGGGGUUCUGAGAGGAAGGUCCCCCACACUGGCACUGAGAUACGGGCCAGACUCCUACGGGAGCAGCAGUAGGGAUAUUGGGGCCAAUGGUCGGAAGACUGACCCAGCCAUGCCGCGUGCAGGAAGACGGCCCUCUGGGUUGUAAACUGCUUUUGUACGGAACGAAAGGUUUCCAUUAAUACUGGAGCUCAUGACGGUACCGUAAGAAUAAGCACCGGCUAAC